UACGUAGGGGGCAAGCGUUUGUCCGGAUUUAUUGGGCGUAAAGAGCGUGUAGGCGGCCAAGCAGGUCCGCUGUGAAAACUCGAGGCUCAACCUCGAGCUGUCGGUGGAAACCACAUGGCUAGAGUCCGGAAGAGGAGAGUGGAAUUCCUGGUGUAGCGGUGAAAUGCGCAGAUAUCAGGAAGAACACCAAUGGCGAAGGCAGCUCUCUGGGACGGUACUGACACUGAGACGCGAAAGCGUGGGGAGCGAACAGG
rnacentral:rRNA from 1 species